rnacentral:lncRNA from 1 species
GGCGGCUAGAGGGCAGUGAUGCUAGGGUUUUCUGAUUCUCUUUUUGUUAGGCUAUAUUCGGCCAUUAGAUAGUGGGUUAUGCGGGUAUUGUAAGUGGGUUUAGUGAUUGGGCUUAGGGUUAGGUUAAAUUUGGGUAGUUUAGGUUAAAACAGUUUGGGCCACGUUGGGCCCAUAUAUUUAGACUGUGGACAUUUAAUUAUUUUUUUGUUUUUUUUUUGCUUAUUCUGAAUGGGCACCGGGCAAAUUGGGCUAUUACAGACUUAAUUGCCAUUUUAAUCCUUUUUAUUUUUUAUUAAUCUAUGAUUCAAGUUUUACCCCUAAUUCAAUUUAUUCAUUUUUCCUAAUUUCUC